AUUGAACGCUGGCGGCAUGCUUUACACAUGCAAGUCGAACGGUAACAGGCCGCAGGGUGCUGACGAGUGGCGAACGGGUGAGUAAUGCAUCGGAACGUGCCCAGUCGUGGGGGAUAACGCAGCGAAAGCUGUGCUAAUACCGCAUACGAUCUAUGGAUGAAAGCGGGGGACCGUAAGGCCUCGCGCGAUUGGAGCGGCCGAUGUCAGAUUAGGUAGUUGGUGGGGUAAAGGCUCACCAAGCCGACGAUCUGUAGCUGGUCUGAGAGGACGACCAGCCACACUGGGACUGAGACACGGCCCAGACUCCUACGGGAGGCAGCAGUGGGGAAUUUUGGACAAUGGGCGCAAGCCUGAUCCAGCAAUGCCGCGUGCAGGAAGAAGGCCUUCGGGUUGUAAACUGCUUUUGUACGGAACGAAAAGGCUCUGGUUAAUACCUGGGGCUCAUGACGGUACCGUAAGAAUAAGCACCGGCUAACUACGUGCCAGCCGCCGCGGUAA
rnacentral:rRNA from 1 species